UACGGGGGGGGCAAGCGUUGUUCGGAAUUACUGGGCGUAAAGGGCUCGUAGGUGGCCAACUAAGUCAGACGUGAAAUCCCUCGGCUUAACCGGGGAACUGCGUCUGAUACUGGAUGGCUUGAGUUCGGGAGAGGGAUGCGGAAUUCCAGGUGUAGCGGUGAAAUGCGUAGAUAUCUGGAGGAAUACCGGUGGCGAAGGCGGCAUCCUGGACCAUUACUGACGCUGAGGCGCGGAAGCUAGGGGAGCAAACGGG
rnacentral:rRNA from 1 species